rnacentral:rRNA from 1 species
CGGUAAUUCCAGCUCCAAUGGUGUAUGCUAACAUUGUUGCAGUUAAAAAGCUCGUAGUCGAAUUUUUAAGGGAAUCAAUUUCGUGUGGUCUUAAUGAACUACAAAGGAAGAUGAUUUAUCUUAUUUUGCGCUUAUACACCGUUGGAAUUCGUUUCCUGACAGUGAAUUAAGUGUGUAUUUACUUUGAGAAAAUUAGAGUGUUCUAAGCAGUCUUACGGCUUUAUCCUAAAGCAUGGAAUGAUAAGUAAUGACAUCGGUUAAUUUCUGUUGGUUUGAGAGGUUGAUGUAAUGAUUUAUAGAGUUAGUCGGAGGUAUUAGUAUUUUGUCGUUAGAGGUGAAAUUCCGGGAUCGACAAAAGACUAACAACUGCGAAGGCAUUUACCUAGGAUUUUCUCCUUGAUCAAGAACGUAAGUUGGGGGAUCGAAGACGAUCAGAUACCGUCGUAGUCUCAACUUUAAACUAUAUCAGCUAGGGGUUGGCAAAUGUUUAUAUGACUUUGUUAGAACCUUAAGAGAAAUCAAAGCGUUUGGGUUCCGGGGGGAGUAUGGUCGCAAGGCUGAAACUUAAAGGAAUUGACGGAAGGGCACCACAAGAUGUGGAUCCUGUGGCUUAAUUUGACUCAACACUGGAAAACUUACCAGGUCCAGACAUAGGUAAGAUUGACAGAUUGAUAGCUCUUUCUUGAUUCUAUGGGUGGUGGUGCAUGGCCGUUCUUAGUUGGUGGAGUGAUUUGUCUGGUUAAUUCCGUUAACGAACCAGACUAUUACCUGCUAAAUAGUACGAUCUUUUAAUUAGGAUAGUUGCUUCUUAGAGGGACUGGCUUUGCAUAAAUUGCUGGAAGUUGGUAGCAAUAACAGGUCUGUGAUGCCCUUAGAUGUCCUGGGCAGCGCACGGGCUACAAUAGGAGAGUAACUAAGCUUGUUCAACUUAGCUCGAAAAGGGCUGUGAAAUCUUAAAACUAUUCUUUAUUUGGGAUCGCGCUUUGAAAUUUUAACGUAUAAACCAGGAAUACCUAGUAAGUGUAUGUCAUCAACGUGCACUGAAUACGUCCCUGCUCUUUGUACACACCGCCCGUCGCUCCUACCGAUUGGAUGAGUUGGUGAGUGGAUUGGAGUAAUAGCUAUCUUCUUUAACAGAUGGUAGUAUUUUUUAAGAUUUGCAAACUAGAUUAUCUAGAGGAAGGAGAAGUCGUAACAAGGUAGCCG